rnacentral:rRNA from 1 species
GAAGAAGGUAUCUUUGGGUCUGGCUCUUGUCUAUGUUUCUUGGAACAGAACGUCACAGAGGGUGAGAAUCCCGUGCGAUGAGAUGAUCCAGGCCUAUGUAAAGUUCCUUCGAAGAGUCGAGUUGUUUGGGAAUGCAGCUCUAAGUGGGUGGUAAAUUCCAUCUAAAGCUAAAUAUUGGCGAGAGACCGAUAGCGAACAAGUACAGUGAUGGAAAGAUGAAAAGAACUUUGAAAAGAGAGUGAAAAAGUACGUGAAAUUGUUGAAAGGGAAGGGCUUGAGAUCAGACUUGGUAUUUUGUAUGUUACUUCUUCGGGGGUGGCCUCUACAGUUUAUCGGGCCAGCAUCAGUUUGGGCGGUAGGAGAAUUGCGUUGGAAUGUGGCACGGCUUCGGUUGUGUGUUAUAGCCUUCGUCGAUACUGCCAGCCUAGACUGAGGACUGCGGUUUAUACCUAGGAUGUUGGCAUAAUGAUCUUAAGUCGCCCGUCUUGAACCACGAGACCAUG